UCAUUUCAGCUAUGGUUUUUUAAAAAAAAAAGAAAAGGGGAAGGGUUUUGGUGCUCUGGGCUAGAUGAUUUCCGGCGAUCGGACCACCGUCCGUCCGUCAUCGGCGACCGUCGUAUACGGCGGCCGAAAGUGUAAAAUCAACCCCUUUUUAACUCUUUUGCUCCCCUCGCCCUAGAUCCGUGGUUAAAAUACCCAAAAACCUCACGAAAGCCGAUAGAAAUUAAGGAAAACUCUCGGUUUUAAACUCUCCGAUCGCCCAAACAAGGUCUUUGGAAGCGAUGGGACGAGGCCAGGGAGUGGUUGAGCCUCGAGCGUUGAACGCGCUGACCAGGCACGUGGGGACCGGCGCACACUGCUGCUAGAAUUUUUUUGUUUCUGCUUUUUUUUUUCUUUUUUGGGUUACGGACUUGUAAAAUUUUGGGCUAGAGUAGUGUUUGGUUUGAUUUGGGCUUGUUUGUAUUAAGGCCCGGUCAAAAUUUGGGCCUUACAGACAAAAUAUAUAAUACAAUGUAAUAUAAUGGAUUAAAUGUUAACUUUUCUUGGCUUAUAAUAAUAAA